rnacentral:rRNA from 1 species
GCGUAUAUUUAAGUUGUUGCAGUUAAAAAGCUCGUAGUCGGAUUUUGGCUGAGAACGGUCGGUCCGCCGUUGGGUGUGCACUGACUGGUCUCAGCUUCCUGGUGAGGAGGUGUGCUUCAUCGCCACUUAGUCACCGUGGUUACUUUGAAAAAAUUAGAGUGUUCAAAGCGGGCUUACGCUUGAAUAUAUUAGCAUGGAAUAACACCAUAGGACUCCUGUCCUAUUUCGUUGGUCUCGGGACGGGAGUAAUGAUUAAGAGGAACAGUUGGGGGCAUUCGUAUUUCAUUGUCAGAGGUGAAAUUCUUGGAUUUAUGAAAGACGAACUUCUGCGAAAGCAUUUGCCAAGGAUGUUUUCAUUGAUCAAGAACGAAAGUUGGGGGCUCGAAGAUGAUUAGAUACCAUCCUAGUCUCAACCAUAAACGAUGCCGACUAGGGAUUGGCGGAUGUUAAUUGAUGACUUCGCCAGCACCUUAUGAGAAAUCAAAGUUUUUGGGUUCCGGGGGGAGUAUGGUCGCAAGGCUGAAACUUAAAGGAAUUGACGGAAGGG